rnacentral:rRNA from 1 species
CUCCGUGAAGCUGGAUUCGCUAGUAAUCGCGCAUCAGCCAUGGCGCGGUGAAUACGUUCCCGGGCCUUGUACACACCGCCCGUCAAGCCAUGGAAGCCGGGGGCGCUUGAAGUGCGUUGCCGCAAGGCGCGCCCUAGAGCGAAACCGGUGACUGGGGCUAAGUCGUAACAAGGUACC